rnacentral:lncRNA from 1 species
AACUAUCAAAAAUGAAACUAAUGGAAGCACAAAGGAAUCAAUAUCGAUUUGGAAGAUGAUAACGAUCUUCAUGCUCUGAAACAAAAGUAUUUAACGCCAAACAAUAAAUCUUUCAAGGUAAUUUCUAAAUAUUGGAACUUACCGUGAAAAUUAAGGAAUUGAAGUUCGUUUAUGGGGAUAAUCGAUGUUUGUGUGUAUAAUGUUUCUUGCCUAUCAGCGAAAACCUCUUCAAUACAUAUAUUUGCGGCUUUGAAUUUUCUGAUUAAUUUGCAGCAUUUACGUUGUUUGUUUCUCAGUUUUCAGGCUAAUCGCGUAGGGAAUGCAAUCUGAAUUUAUUUUACAGCUGUAUGCUGAUGUCCAGCGAUUAUGUAAUUUUUUUACCUCUAAUAUCUGAUAUUUGUAUCCUUAUUUGUGUAGUAAGUAUGUAGGAUCAUAGAGUAGACUGUCAAUCUCCUUAAGUGCUCCCUAAUCUCUUUAGAGAGGGGUGUGUUGCAUCAAAACGAAACUACUGUAUGUGCGACCUUUCCUUUCUUUGAUAACCUUAGUGUCCUGGCCAGCUUGUGCUCACCUCGGCUAAUUCUAUGGGAUACCUGCUACCUCUCACCCAAUAGGUAUUAGGUAACUAUGUUCACCAAACUUGAACAGACGGUAAGAAAUCACCUAGUUUUUUUAUCUCCUCUGGGAUUUGAACCUCAUGGCUCUCAACCCACUUCAUUAACCACUACACCAUUGGAUGCGUAUGUACGACUUUGGAGAUGAUUGAAACAAGAUUCACGUGUUUGGGUCAAAUAUCUGUUUGCAAAUAUACAGUGGUGCUACCAAAAGGAAAUCCAUAUAUUAUUAGCAUGAUAUGCUCAUCUAAAUACACGCUAUACUCUCACAUAUAUUAAGAGGUAGCACCAUCAUGCUUUAGGCUACCAGUUCCUUAUUAUAUUCUCAUUGAAUCUUUUGUACGUCCUGACUUAUAAGUGCCUGAUAUUCCAAGCAUUCUCUACAUAGGUGUUUAUUUGAUAAAACAUAUGACUCAGAUCUGAAACGUUGCUUUCCGAAUCUUAGACUAUUGGAGGUUUCACUAUAUGUCCUGUUGUGUACUGAAAUCUAGUCUGUAUUGGACUGGCUUCAAAAGCAAUAUAAAAGCAUAGCUGUGCACCUUGGUAGACAAACCAUUACAUUCUGAGAAAUACAAACUAGGUCAAGUAUCUUCUGGUUUCUUCAGUUCUAUCCCUUUUUCUCCUGGAGCUGGAAUGUUUCUUUCUAGAUUUGUUUUUGUUGGGAACAUUUUGUUAUUGAAACGUCCCUCCUCCUCUUUGUUGAUAAAAUUUUUGUGUGGUCUGGAUAGAGGACUGCUAUGUGAUUUUGGCAGUUUUCUUGGAAAUAUAUAUUGCUAGAUGACUGUAUAGAUACCAAGAGUAAUUAAGUCAUAUAAUGUGCAUUUGUGCAAUAAAACCAGGUAAAUAGGUGGAAAUCAUAAGGUAGCUAAACAUAUAGUGGAUUAGUAGUGUUUUUUCAUCAGCAAUCAUUGUAUUCUUUGGUACACCAGAGGGAUGUUCAACUAUUCAGUUACAGUGUUGGUCUUACAGUUCUGUUCUUGAGAAAGAAUGGACAUCAUCUGUAUUGUCUUGAAUGAUGCAUAGCGUUUGGUCGUGUAAUUCUACAUCGUUUGAGCAUUCCUUGUGCAUUCCCUCCCUCCCUCUCUCUGUUUUCUUUUCCUGCUUUCAUUUCUUUGGAAUUCAUUUACAAACUUCUGCCCAUGGCAGCGUUUUGUUUAUGCCUCCGUGUUUUGUUUGCAAUUUAAUAUGGCAUUCCACAUUUAGAGUCUGCACAAACGAACGAGUCACGAUGGAAUUAGCAGACAGAACGAUUGGGCUGCUUUUGACAGUGACUAGUUUGUCUAUUUUCACAUAUUAUACCUUCUGGGUCAUCAUUCUGGUCAGUUCUUCUCUCUUGCCCUGAUGUAGUGAUUUUUUGCGACCUACGUUGAUAUAUGGGGUUGAUAAAUGCUAUUUUUGUCUUUCAGCCACUGGUUGAUUCUGAUCAUUUUGUGCACCAAUAUUUUCUACCUCAAGAGUAUGCGAUUCUUAUUCCCGUAUUUGCUGGAAUGGCACUCAUUUGCUUGCUGAGCAUGUUUAUCGGAUAUGUGAUGCUCAAGUCCAAAAAGAAGGCGACAUGAUACAGCUAUGCUAAGCCUGCUGCUAGCUGUUUGAAUUAUAAGAUAGUUCAUAAUUUUGCUCAACUCUUUCCCACUUGAACAGCUCGUGUCACAUAAAUUUUUCUCUAUUCAUGUGUUUGCUAUGAUCUGAAUAUCCUAGAUGCCUUUCAGCCUUCUAGUAGUGAAAACAUAUAGACAACAAGCUCUAUUUUGUGUUUGUAGUUUAUUUAGGAACGUCUGUUAUCUUUAGAUAGAAAAGGGAAAAGGCCUCUGUCAUUAGCAUGUAUCUUGAUAAUUAUUAGAGGUCGAUGUUGUUGGAUUUUUAUCUAAUUAGAUAAGAGAUGUGAAUGAGAAAUUGAGGAAAAAGAAAAGUUUGAAGUUGUUUACUUUACUAAUGUACUUUGUCCCUCAUCGGAAAAAGGAAAGAAAAUUUUUGUGCUUAGAUAGAGAAGCACAUCUUCUAGCUUUUAAAGAGUUAAAAAAAAGUGGUGCCUCGCACCGUCGCUUGCUCGGGUCGGCUUCGGUCAAAUUGAUUUGAUUGAUAAUUUUUUGGACCAAAUUUAUUUCCCAUUAUAUAAUUUCUUUUCUAUAUUUUUUUGCGAAAUUUUAAUUUAAAAUUCGCAACCAGAUUUCUGCUGAAAUGAUACCUCAUAUCAACAGGUACCUUCACACCUAUUCAACCCACACUGUUUGGCUAUAAAUUUAGAGGUUUUGCCAUAUUUUUUAGCAUCGAAAAUCUGCAAACUCUCUCCUCAUCUUCUGCAUUAUUAUUUUCAAAGCAAAAACGUAAGCAUCAAUAUGGUUUAUUGCCAUUUCUUGAGUUCGCCGAGGUUCUGUAAUUUCCAUUGCCGGUAUUACAAAAUAGUUGUUCCGUUCUAUUCUGGGAGGAAUUAAUCCAACAACCUUGGGCAACAAUGAGGGGAUUUAAUUCCUUAAGGAAACACAAUUUUCUUUUGAGCUUGGAACGUUAUUCAUUUGAUUCUAUUUUUGUCUUUUGUUUUUGGUUUCGUUUUAUGCAGGAAUUAUAUUUUCGAAUACAGAUACUAACAUAUGCUUCCUCUUUGGUUGUGUAGUGGGGGUAUUUUUUUCUACAUUAUUCAUGAUUCUGCAAUAAAGUUUACGAAUAGAAUGAGAGUUGUUGAACAACGAUAUUUCAAGCAGUGCUGCCAAUAGUUUGAAACCUGCAAAUAGGUUCCCGAUCGCAAUACAAUAUUCAAGGUUAUCAGUAAAUGUUAAUUAUGGGAGAAUGGAGAUCACGUACAAUUGCCUUUUAAGUUAGUUGUGCAAAUAUCUUGUACAUCAUUGGUGCAUAUAAUUGAAAUUUAAUUAUUGUUGCAUGCAGGCGAAUACUCGCAAUCCAUAAAUUGCAACUUUGUAUCUCUCACGUCCAAACGCAAUUGAUAGAUCUGAUUUCUUUGCAAAAAGAGAGAUUUUCAUUCUCUUUCUUCAUUUUAUGUACAGUCCUAUGAUGAAACUACUUCUCAUCUAUUCCUAGAUGACUACCAAGUUUCAAUUAUUCUUCACUGCAAAUUGUUAAACUGUUAAGUAAUCUUAAGGCAUCACAUUCCAAAAGGACUGCCCUGCUCUAUCACAUAGACGAGAAGAAGUACCCUUCUCCAAAGACUCCAAUGGAGGCAACUUAUGACUUGUGUAAAACACAAACCCAUCUUCAGUGUUUGAUUGUUCUUUAUUCUUCAUGUUUGGCUCGUCAUUUUCACUAGCAGUAGUGGUAGAAUUCUUCUCCACAAGCUCACGAUACAUGGAGGAGCGAAGCAGAAGGCUGAGAGCUGUAGGGGAAGACGACUUGUUGCACGGACUUAAGGGCAUUUUUCUUUCAAUAGGUUCUUGGCUCUGAGGAAUAGGGGGCAGAGUUUCUCUAGUUGUGGUAAAAUAAUUGGAGCUGAUAGGGAAUUUAGGAUCAUUUAUCGGGUUAAUCAUAUCGUUAGUGUUCAUUUGUAUAGCCCGAUUUUCUUCUGUAGUUGUGGUAAAAUAAUUGGAGCUGAAAGGGAAUUUAGGAUCAUUUAUCGGGUUAAUCAUAGCGUUAGUGUUCAUUUGUAUAGCCUGAUUUUCUGAUCUUAUGUCUUGGAAUGACAUCUGAGAAUUGGCACCUGGUUUUAGCCAUCUAAUAUAGGUGCUUAAGUCGAAGUUAGUCACAGCAUUAAUCCCUCUGUAUUCAAUUGCAGCAAUGUCAUAAGCUCGAGCUGCUUCCUCUUGAGUGCCUACAGAAAAACGAACACAAGAUUCGAGUUGGCAGCCUGUUUUAACAGUCUUGAUUUGAUCAG